GAUGAACGCUAGCGACAGGCCUAACACAUGCAAGUCGAGGGGCAGCACAAGGUAGCAAUACUGAGGUGGCGACCGGCGCACGGGUGAGUAACGCGUAUGCAACCUGCCUGUAACAGGGGAAUAGCCUCUUGAAAGAGAGAUUAAUGCCGCAUAAUACGAGAUUCGGGCAUCCGGAUUUAGUUAAACAUUUAUGGGUUACAGAUGGGCAUGCGUUUCAUUAGGUAGUUGGUGAGGUAACGGCUCACCAAGCCGACGAUGAAUAGGGGUUCUGAGAGGAAGGUCCCCCACACUGGUACUGAGACACGGACCAGACUCCUACGGGAGGCAGCAGUGAGGAAUAUUGGUCAAUGGACGCAAGUCUGAACCAGCCAAGUCGCGUGAAGGAUGAAGGUAUUAUGUAUUGUAAACUUCUUUUGUCAGGGAAUAAUGGGUGUCACGUGUGACGCAGAGGAAUGUACCUGACGAAUAAGCAUCGGCUAACUCCGUGCCAGCAGCCGCGGUAAUACGGAGGAUGCGAGCGUUAUCCGGAUUUAUUGNGUUUAAAGGGUGCGUAGGCGGUUUGUUAAGUCAGUGGUGAAAGUUUUCGGCUCAACCGGAAAAUUGCCAUUGAAACUGAUAGACUUGAGUGUAAACGAGGUAGGCGGAAUUCGUGGUGUAGCGGUGAAAUGCUUAGAUAUCACGAAGAACUCCAAUUGCGAAGGCAGCUUACUAGGCUACAACUGACGCUGAAGCACGAAAGCGUGGGGAUCAAACAGGAUUAGAUACCCUGGUAGUCCACGCAGUAAACNAUGAUAACUAGCUGUUUG
rnacentral:rRNA from 1 species